GAAAUUGAAGCCAUGCAAAUCUGGUGGCAGAGCCAAUGCCUUCCUUUCUGUAUCUCUUGGAAAGAGGGACUGUGAUCCAGAGGAGGGGGUUUCUUCUGAAACUCAAAGCAUUUGGACUUCGAAUGGCUCUAGCUACUGAAAGCCUUCUUAUGCUCUGACCGUGGUGGGGCCGUGCAGACAGUGACGUCCCCUUUUCCUUGUCUCCACGGUGGCCCGUCCUGGCAUGGAUCAGAGCUUCUGUUUGCUGGUCAUUCCACGAUCCUCACACAAUAUAAAUGAAAUCUGCUAAAACCAAUAAAUUCAAACCAUGUGUGGGGCAUGGGGAGGAGCCGGGACGUCAGAGGGCCACAGUGUGAGGUGGCGUCAGCUCUGACGGCACCCAAGUAGAUUUGUAUAUGUGGAAAGUAAAUACCCAAAGCCGUAAACAGCCCUGGGUCUCCCACUCUCACUGGGACUCAAAGGCGUUUAAUAGGAACACACACUCUCUGUUUCUUAUAAACCGAGCCAGAGCCUCUAUGUGUGCUGACCUAAAUUCUGAGUUUGCAAUCCCAGGCCAGCCAGCCAGGCAUCCUAGUCAUAGGCUGCAGACAGGCCGGGCCGUCAGCUUGGGUUCUCCUCUCUGGUUUUGGCAACUGGACUAGCAUUUGUGCUUUGUAAAGAACUGCUUCUCCUUUUCUUUGUCGUGUACAGCCCUGGUUG
rnacentral:lncRNA from 1 species